CCAAAAUUUCCUGCUCCUCUCCCCAUCCCCCAUUGUCGCUACCCACCAGAUCGGAGGUCCUCCUGCUCCAGCCAGGUCGAACGCCGCCCCCUCCUCAUCUGCGGUAUCCCGGCGGCCGCCUCACUCACAACCUUCUCCUCCGUGGCUCAAUCCGCUCGAACGCCUCCACGAACCCUAGGCGACAACGGCGGCGACGGCCCCGGGGACGGAGGCCGCCGCAUAAGCGGGAGAACAUAUCGGUGCGCCGCCUCGUCCUCCACGAAUCCGGCAGAGGAACAUACUGGUGCGCCGCCUCGUCCUCCACGAAUCCGGCAGAGGAACAUACUGGUGCGCCGCCACCUCCUGCCGGAGGAGACGGGCGCCACUGUCCUGUCGGCGCCGUACUGCCUCAUCCCUAGGGUUCGGGUGGCCUCGUCGCCGUCUUUUGCUCCGCCGGUGACGCCUCACGUGGGAUUUAUUGUUUUCUGCUGUGCUGGAUAGAAAGAUUCCUUGGUCUCGACCAGUAAACCUCCAAUCCAACAUGUCCCCCAUGGAGUGGUUUCAGCAAGGAAGAUGGAGAGCCCAUUCUCUCACUCACAAGGGUUGACAUCUCUUUGUCCCUUUCAGAAUCUGAGUUAUUUGAUGUAGAAAUUGUGGCUGAGGAUCGUCCAAUGGAGAUUCCUGAUCCCCAAUUCUUGGGUAUCGAGAAUAACACGAAUCUCAAGUGCCACCAUGGGAGCUGCUGGAGAGGAAGAUAGCUUUCGGCAUGGCUGCGACAGGCAAGAGGAUUUUUGGCAAAUGAGAAGAGAUCUUCAAUGAAAUUAUCAUUCUAUACCAUUCUUAGAUUAGGUUCUCUAAGUGUUGUCGUGACUUUAGCCACUUUUGUCCUUAUGUUUUUUGCAUAAUUCGAUUGCUUUGUGGUUAAUGUGUAAAAAGCUUGUAUGAUCGAAUUAUUACUAUCCAUUUCUAUCGGCCUAUAAGUUGUCUGUCAUGCAGCUUGAAUUCUAACUUAGUGAUUUAUGGAGAUAUGUGAAUGGCAUGAGGCAACAGAUAUUGCCAUUGUUAUCGAGAUGACAACAGAUAUUACUGGAUGUACACGGGUUCUGUAUUUUGCCAAUCCUGUAGUUUGAUACUCCAUUGGGUUCAUCUGCGGCAGGACAUCAUUAAGUUUAAUGUGGAUGGGCCCCAUGUCCUGGCUAGCAGCAUGGAACUUGGGGCGUUAUUGCCAGAGAUUCAGAAGGUCAAAUUGUGGCUGCCAGGGCUGGGCAUGCCUUGAAUGUGUAUGAUGCAUUUGCUGCUGAACUGCAAGCAGCGGAUGAUGGUGGAGACAGAAGCACAGCUGGUUGAGCAAGCAGUAAACAGGCAUGCACCUGAUUUCUCCAAGGAAGCCCAGGCGAUAGAAGACAUCAAAGUACAGGCCAAACUCUGGUUCACCUCAUGUGAGUUUCUUCACUGUAAGCUUGUUGCAAAUGUGCCUGCCCACUCUCUAGCGCAAUUAGGUUU